GUAGGUGAACCUGCGGAAGGAUCAUUAACACAAGUACAUUUUACCCAAAAUGUAUUUUUCACCCCAUUGUGCAAACUUGUUCUCCAGUCUUCCCGGGCGUGCUCGCUGCCUGCUCUGCUUUCUUUUUCUUAGAGAGCGUUGUAUGUAUGCUGUGCGCGCCUGUUGGCUAACAAACUUUAUUUCACCCCUUGAACUGUCUUUUGACUGACAUCUGAGUACGAAACUUGUUUUUGUACUCUGCCAUAUAUCAAACGCUGAACAACUCUUAGCAACGGAUAUCUUGGCUCUC
rnacentral:misc_RNA from 1 species